rnacentral:rRNA from 1 species
CGAACGAUUUAAAAGCUCUCUUUCGGAGAUGCAUAGAGUGGCGUCACGGGUGAGUAACACGUAGGUAAUCUACCUUCGAUGGGGAAUAACGUCCGGAAACGGACGCUAAUACCGCAUAAUGCAGCGGCAUCGUAAGAUGACAGUUGUUAAAGAUUUAUCGCUUGAAGAGGAGCUUGCGGCAGAUUAGCUAGUUGGUAAGGUAAAUGGGCUUACCAAGGCUACGAUCUGUAACCGGUCUUAGAGGACGGUCGGUCACACUGACACUGAAUAACGGGUCAGACUCCUACGGGAGGCAGCAGUCGGGAAUUUUGGGCAAUGGGCGAAAGCCUGACCCAGCAACGCCGCGUGAAGGAUGAAGUAUUUCGGUAUGUAAACUUCGAAAGAAUAGGAAGAAUAAAUGACGGUACUAUUUAUAAGGUCCGGCUAACUACGUG